rnacentral:rRNA from 1 species
UACAGAGGUCCCAAGCGUUGUUCGGAUUCACUGGGCGUAAAGGGUGCGUAGGCGGUCGGGUAAGUCUGAUGUGAAAUCUCACAGCUUAACUGUGAAACUGCAUUGGAUACUAUUCGGCUUGAGAGUUCGGUAGGGGAGACUGGAAUUCCUGGUGUAGCGGUGAAAUGCGCAGAUAUCAGGAGGAACACCGAUGGCGAAGGCAGGUCUCUGGGCCGAUACUGACGCUGAGGAGCGAAAGCGUGGGGAGCGAACAGG